rnacentral:rRNA from 1 species
GCUUCCGGGGCGCCUGGCCCGCGCUCGCUCGUCGAGCGUGUGUUGUCGGAUUCGCGCCCCAGCCAUCCUUCUGGAGAACGGCCCUGCCCUUCACUGGGUCGGGGCCGCGAUCCAGAUCGUUUACUUUGAAAAAAUUAGAGUGUUCAAUGCAGGCUUCUACGCUGUGAAUACAUUAGCAUGGAAUAAUAAUUUAGGACUUCGGUUCUAUUUUGUUGGUUUCUAGGACUGAAGUAAUGAUUGAUAGGGAUAGUUGGGGGUGCUAGUAUUCAGCGGCCAGAGGUGAAAUUCUCGGAUUCGCUGAAGACUAACUUAUGCGAAAGCAUU